CCUGCCCCAGUCAAGCCCUCAGAUGAUCCCCCGGCCCCAGUCAAGCCCUCAGAUGAUCCUUCGGCCCCAGCUGACAUCCUGGCUUCAACCUCACAAGAGACCCUGAGCCAGAACCACCCAGCUAAACUGCUCCUAGACACCUGAUCCACAAAAACCUUACACUUUGAUACACAGAAGGUGACCUGUCGCCUUCUCUACCUGCCCUCCUGUCAUGCCAGCUGGUCCAUCCCAAUGGGGAGAGUGGCUGGCACCACUGGGACUUUCCUCUCCAGCACGGAACAGAUUCUUCCUCUCAGCCUGCCAGAGAAACCAGCCCCACUGACACCUUGAUCUUGGACUUCCGGCCUCCAGAACCGAAGGUUUCCCCUGCUUGUGGCAGACACCAGAGAGUCACCACCCGGGAUGCAGGGAUGUGAAAAAGGACACAGGCAGAAAGACACGGGACUCCCAACCUGAGCUUCCUCAAGUGCCUUCACUUCCAUUGCUGUUCUUGCUUGAUGGGAAGUUGUGCCAGUGUGGUAAGAACCUUCGUUCCUCCCCGACACUUUACAAAAGCGCUGCUAACCCCCCUGCCUGACAGUCAAGACCUCCUACCUUCUCUAUUUGUCAGCCUUCCUUUCCUCUCCUUGCCAACAAGGGCAACACCUCUGACUAUCCCGGCACCCAGAGCUGCAUUCACUGUGAUUGAAGUUUCAUGAUUUUUUUUAUUUAUUUGGCGUACGCAGGCCUCUCACUGCUGUGGCC